rnacentral:rRNA from 1 species
UACAGAGGGUGCGAGCGUUAAUCGGAAUUACUGGGCGUAAAGCGUGCGCAGGCGGCUUUGCAAGACAGAUGUGAAAUCCCCGGGCUUAACCUGGGAACUGCAUUUGUGACUGAAUGGCUGGAGUGCGGCAGAGGGGGAUGGAAUUCCGCGUGUAGCAGUGAAAUGCGUAGAUAUGCGGAGGAACACCGAUGGCGAAGGCAAUCCCCUGGGCCUGCACUGACGCUCAUGCACGAAAGCGUGGGGAGCAAACAGG